rnacentral:rRNA from 1 species
UACAGAGGGUGCAAGCGUUAAUCGGAAUUACUGGGCGUAAAGGGUGUGUAGGUGGUUAGAUAAGUUAGGUGUGAAAGCCCUGGGCUUAACCUGGGAACUGCGCUUAAUACUGUUUAGCUAGAGGUUUGUAGAGGAUAGUGGAAUUUCCGGUGUAGCGGUGAAAUGCGUAGAUAUCGGAAGGAACACCAGUGGCGAAGGCGACUAUCUGGACAAAUACUGACACUGAUACACGAAAGCGUGGGGAGCAAACAGG